UGGAGGUGAAGGAAGGGAAUAACAAAUGUUUUGAUGGCAAGGGUAGCAACAUUUAAAAGAUAGAGUCAGAGUCUUAGUUUGCUCUAUUUUUGUGUAAACUAGAGUGUGUGUGGGGGGGAGGGGGGGAUAUAGUAGCACUGGUUGACUUCAUAGGUAACUUGUAAAGUUCUUCUACUCUCGAAGUCCACUUGGAGAAAUUCCCAUACUUUUGGUGGGUGUAAGAUUCUUCCUCGUCAUUUCUUGGAUGUGUUUUUUGUGAAUACAAAGUCACCCUUUUCUCAAAAAACUGGUGGAGGUGCAAAUAGAGAUCUAGAAGAUGGAGUGAAGGGAUGGACUAUGGAGAAAUCUCUAAAUGGAAGAAUCGGUAUAACCUCGUAAAUGUCUAGAUGCUCUAGAGAAGAGUUUGUGAAGUAGGAUCAACCUCAAAGAAAGUAACAUCAGAUGACAUAAGAAAUUGCUAAAGGUCAAGUGAGUGGCAUUGAUAUCCUUAUUAUACCCUCGAGUAACCAAAAGAGACACAUUUAAGAGCAUGAGGAGCCAAUUUGUCUUUUCUUAGAGCGAGGAUAUGGACAAAGCAUGUACUCCUCCAAAGACAUGAUGAAAGAGAACAAAGUUAACUAAACCAAAUAGUGUGUAGGACCUAAUUUUAAAUAGAAACGGAAGGCAUAUGAUUAAUUAGAUGGCAAGAUGCGACUACUGCAUCCCCCUAAAAGCACAAUGGAACAUUUUUGGUCAAUGAGUACGGUGUGUGCAGUCUCCAACGAUGUGCCUAUUUUCUCUUCACAACCUCAUUUUGUUGUGAGGUGCAAGGACAAGAUAUUUGAUGAAGAAUUCCAAGGAAAGACAUAAAUUGUUGAAAUUAAGAUGAUAAAUAUGCCCCCAAGGCCUAGCUCAAGUGGCAAAAGGUGGAGGAUUUGUGGCUUAGGUCGCAGGUUCAAGCCCCACACCAUGCAAAGCGAAGCCCGGUAUUUAAGUGGAUAGAGUGUGUGUGGGGGGGAGGGGGGGAUAUAGUAGCACUGGUUGACUUCAUAGGUAACUUGUAAAGUUCUUCUACUCUCGAAGUCCACUUGGAGAAAUUCCCAUACUUUUGGUGGGUGUAAGAUUCUUCCUCGUCAUUUCUUGGAUGUGUUUUUUGUGAAUACAAAGUCACCCUUUUCUCAAAAAACUGGUGGAGGUGCAAAUAGAGAUCUAGAAGAUGGAGUGAAGGGAUGGACUAUGGAGAAAUCUCUAAAUGGAAGAAUCGGUAUAACCUCGUAAAUGUCUAGAUGCUCUAGAGAAGAGUUUGUGAAGUAGGAUCAACCUCAAA
rnacentral:lncRNA from 1 species